GGAGGGAUGGCUCAGUGGUUAAGAGCAUUAGCUACUCUUCCAGAGGACCUGGGUUUGAAUCCUAGCACCUCCA
rnacentral:tRNA from 1 species